UACGUAGGGGGCAAGCGUUAUCCGGAUUUACUGGGUGUAAAGGGAGCGUAGACGGCAGCGCAAGUCUGGAGAGAAAUGCCGGGGCCCAACCCCGGAACUGCUCUGGAAACUGUGAAGCUGGAGUGCAGGAGAGGUAAGCGGAAUUCCUGGUGUAGCGGUGAAAUGCGUAGAUAUCAGGAGGAACACCGGCGGCGAAGGCGGCUCUCUGGUCUGCAACUGACGCUGAGGCUCGAAAGCAUGGGUAGCGAACAGG
rnacentral:rRNA from 1 species